rnacentral:rRNA from 1 species
AGAGUUUGAUCCUGGCUCAGGAUGAACGCUGGCGGCGUGCCUAAUACAUGCAAGUCGAGCGAACGGACGAGAAGCUUGCUUCUCUGAUGUUAGCGGCGGACGGGUGAGUAACACGUGGAUAACCUACCUAUAAGACUGGGAUAACUUCGGGAAACCGGAGCUAAUACCGGAUAAUAUUUUGAACCGCAUGGUUCAAAAGUGAAAGACGGUCUUGCUGUCACUUAUAGAUGGAUCCGCGCUGCAUUAGCUAGUUGGUAAGGUAACGGCUUACCAAGGCAACGAUGCAUAGCCGACCUGAGAGGGUGAUCGGCCACACUGGAACUGAGACACGGUCCAGACUCCUACGGGAGGCAGCAGUAGGGAAUCUUCCGCAAUGGGCGAAAGCCUGACGGAGCAACGCCGCGUGAGUGAUGAAGGUCUUCGGAUCGUAAAACUCUGUUAUUAGGGAAGAACAUAUGUGUAAGUAACUGUGCACAUCUUGACGGUACCUAAUCAGAAAGCCACGGCUAACUACGUGCCAGCAGCCGCGGUAAUACGUAGGUGGCAAGCGUUAUCCGGAAUUAUUGGGCGUAAAGCGCGCGUAAGCGGUUUUUUAAGUCUGAUGUGAAAGCCCACGGCUCAACCGUGGAGGGUCAUUGGAAACUGGAAAACUUGAGUGCAGAAGAGGAAAGUGGAAUUCCAUGUGUAGCGGUGAAAUGCGCAGAGAUAUGGAGGAACACCAGUGGCGAAGGCGACUUUCUGGUCUGUAACUGACGCUGAUGUGCGAAAGCGUGGGGAUCAAACAGGAUUAGAUACCCUGGUAGUCCACGCCGUAAACGAUGAGUGCUAAGUGUUAGGGGGUUUCCGCCCCUUAGUGCUGCAGCUAACGCAUUAAGCACUCCGCCUGGGGAGUACGACCGCAAGGUUGAAACUCAAAGGAAUUGACGGGGACCCGCACAAGCGGUGGAGCAUGUGGUUUAAUUCGAAGCAACGCGAAGAACCUUACCAAAUCUUGACAUCCUUUGACAACUCUAGAGAUAGAGCCUUCCCCUUCGGGGGACAAAGUGACAGGUGGUGCAUGGUUGUCGUCAGCUCGUGUCGUGAGAUGUUGGGUUAAGUCCCGCAACGAGCGCAACCCUUAAGCUUAGUUGCCAUCAUUAAGUUGGGCACUCUAAGUUGACUGCCGGUGACAAACCGGAGGAAGGUGGGGAUGACGUCAAAUCAUCAUGCCCCUUAUGAUUUGGGCUACACACGUGCUACAAUGGACAAUACAAAGGGCAGCGAAACCGCGAGGUCAAGCAAAUCCCAUAAAGUUGUUCUCAGUUCGGAUUGUAGUCUGCAACUCGACUACAUGAAGCUGGAAUCGCUAGUAAUCGUAGAUCAGCAUGCUACGGUGAAUACGUUCCCGGGUCUUGUACACACCGCCCGUCACACCACGAGAGUUUGUAACACCCGAAGCCGGUGGAGUAACCUUUUAGGAGCUAGCCGUCGAAGGUGGGACAAAUGAUUGGGGUGAAGUCGUAACAAGGUAGCCGUAUCGGAAGGUGCGGCUGGAUCACCUCCUUU